UCCGCCAUCAGCACGGCCGCCUCUGCCGCCGCCGACGAGAUGAGCCUCCUCAUGGGCGUGCGUAAGGAUAUCUGGUUCAUCAAAGACGAGCUAGCAACGAUGCAGGCUUUCCUGUUGGCUGCUGAAGGGAUGGAAGAGAAAGACAUACUACUGAAGGUGUGGGCAGAGCAAGUAAGGGACCUAUCAUACAAUAUUGAAGAUUGCCUUGGUGAAUUCAUGGUGCAUGUCGCAAGUCAAAGCUUGUCAAGGAAGUUGAUGAAGCUCAAAGAUCGCCAUCGAAUCGCGAUACAAAUUCGUGAUCUCAAAUCAAGGGUUGAAGAAGUGAGCAAUAGGAACACACGAUACAACCUGAUUGAGAAGAACAAAUUCGCUAGAGCCACUGAUGAGAAGGAUUCUUGCAUGGAAGAUAUUCGCAACCAAUCUGCCAACAACAUUGAUGAAGCUGAACUUGUGGGGUUCUCCAAGCCAAAACAAGAGUUGAUAAAUCUCAUAGAUGUUCAUGCCAUAGAUAGCCCUGCUCAAGUAGUGUGUGUUGUCGGCAUGGGUGGUUUGGGUAAGACUACUCUUACAAGGAAGGUUUAUGAAAAUAUGGAUAACUUUUCGUGUUGUGCUUGGAUCAUUGUCUCUCAGUCAUUUGUCAGGAUGGGGUUUCUCAAAGUUAUGAUCCAAGAACUUUUUGGUAGUGAAGCAUUGAAGAAGCAGCUUGAAGGGAAUGAUGGGAGCGAAGUGAAUCUCGCCAACUAUCUUAGAGAAAAUCUACUUGGGAAGAGGUAUUUUGUUGUCCUUGAUGAUUUGUGGAACAUAGAUGAUUGGAAUUGGAUGGAAACUUUUGUUUUUCCUAGUAUCAACAACAAUGGUAGCCGGAUAAUGGUAACAACACGAGAUCUUGGCUUAGCUGAGAACUGCACUUUGGGACCUUCUAGCUCACUUAUCUACCGCCAUGAACCCCUAGAAACAAAUGAUGCCAUAAAUCUGCUACUAAGGAAGACUAGGAAAAAUGAGGAAGAAAUGAAAAAAGAUGGGGAUAUGAGGAAAAUAGUUACUAAGAUAGUCAAAAAGUCUGGACAGCUACCCCUAGCUAUACUCACAAUAGGAGGCAUGCUUGCCACUAGAGGGGUUGAUGAGUGGGAGAAUAUUUAUAAACAGCUCCCCUCAGAGCUAGAGAGAAAUGGGAGCCUUGAAGCAAUGAGGAGGAUGGUUACUCUGAGUUACAAUCACUUGCCUUCUCAUCUUAAGUCAUGUUUUCUAUAUUUAAGCAUAUUUCCUGAGGAUUUUGAAAUCAAAAGGAGGCGUAUGGUGGAAAGAUGGAUAGCCGAGGGGUUUAUUAUUGCCAGGAGUGGGGUGAGUGUUGAGGAUGUUGGGAAUAGUUACUUUAAUGACCUAAUCAACCGAAGCUUGAUUCAGCCAUCAAGAGUGAACAUUGAAGGAAUUAUCAAGAGUUGUCGAGUUCAUGAUAUUGUUCGGGAUGUCAUGAUCUCGAUUUCUAGAGAUGAAAAUUUUGCAUGGUCUACAUCAGAUAAAGUAAUGGGCAUAGGAAGGGAUAACUUCCGUCAUAUAGCACUGCAAGGCAGUUGGUGCCCAAAUAAAGGCCUGGAUUGGAACCAUGUCCGAUCAUUGACUGUGUUUGGCGAGAGACCCAUGAAGCCGGCACUUUCACUAUGUUCGCCCGACUUUAGGAUGCUCAGAGUCUCGGAUCUACAUGAUGCCCAGUUUGUAAUAGAACAAAAAGAUAUCAGCAGCAUAGGGUCGUUACGUCAUUUGAAAUAUGUCCAUGAUAAAGGUGAAAGUUAUAUUUACACGCUCCCAAGAACCAUAGGGAACAUACAAGGCUUGCAAACUUUGGACAUGAGAAAUAGUGCUGUAGCAUCACUACCAACUGAGAUCACUAAACUACAAAGCCUUCGUAUCCUCCGUUGCAGCAAAGAGAGUACAGAUGCUGAUUUAUACUUACUUUACCCCAUGACCUGGUUCAUGUCCACAUUCUGUAUGCCUAUUCUAUUCACUCCUUUGGUUAGUUUAGAACGGCGUCGAGAGAUUAUGAUGUUCAUUCACAUGGCCUGGACUGGUCGACUGACCAACUCUCGGGGUAUGCAAGUGCCCAAAGGAAUCAGCAACCUAAAGGAGUUAGAGAUACUAGAGGUCGUGGAUAUUGAGCGGACAAGUAGGAAAGCAGUUAAAGAGCUCGGGGAGCUUAUAAAGCUAAGAAAGUUAAGUGCCACAGUAUGGGCAAGCAAGCAAAAGAGCAAGAUAUUCUGCACAUCCCUUGAGAAGCUCACUUCCCUCACAUCUCUU
rnacentral:rRNA from 1 species